GAUGGGCCCCUCUCCUCUUUUUUUUGCACCACUUGGGAUCUGAGCGAAAGGAUUGACUGCAGCAGGCGAACGGGGGAAGGUUUAUUGCGCUCCUCCAGACCCCCCCCCGCUUAUAGCAGCGCGGCGGGGCUCGGGGCAGGCGGCAGAGAGCGGGCAGCGCUGGGCAGAGACGGAGGGCAGCUCCGUGCACAGAGCCUCACCUCUGGAAUGGUGCCCUUGGGAACACUGACAGCAGCCUGGGCUCCCUGGGACGCCUCUUUGCAGCCGCCGAGGGGUUCUGCAGGUAUUUGGGGCCAUCCCUCCCCCUGGGCUCGCAUCCCGGCCGGUGCGGAUGCCGCAAGGAGCCCGUCGGGUCGUGCCAAUAAAGCUCUUUCCUUGCGGGUUCCUGCA